AGUGAACGCUGGCGGUAGGCCUAACACAUGCAAGUCGAACGGCAGCACAGUAAGAGCUUGCUCUUACGGGUGGCGAGUGGCGGACGGGUGAGGAAUACAUCGGAAUCUACUUUUUCGUGGGGGAUAACGUAGGGAAACUUACGCUAAUACCGCAUACGACCUACGGGUGAAAGCAGGGGAUCUUCGGACCUUGCGCGAUUGAAUGAGCCGAUGUCGGAUUAGCUAGUUGGCGGGGUAAAGGCCCACCAAGGCGACGAUCCGUAGCUGGUCUGAGAGGAUGAUCAGCCCCACUAGAACUGAGACACGGUCCAGACUCCUACGGGAGGCAGCAGUGGGGAAUAUUUGACAAUGGGCGCAAGCCUGAUCCAGCCAUACCGCGUGGGUGAAGAAGGCCUUCGGGUUGUAAAGCCCUUUUGUUGGGAAAGAAAAGCAGCAGGUUAAUACCCCGCUGUUCUGACGGUACCCAAAGAAUAAGCACCGGCUAACUUCGUG
rnacentral:rRNA from 1 species